CUCCAGACUCCUACGGGAGGCAGCAGUGGGGAAUAUUGCACAAUGGGGGAAACCCUGAUGCAGCGACGCCGCGUGGGUGAAGAAGCGCCUCGGCGCGUAAAGCCCUGUCAGCAGGGAAGAAAAUGACGGUACCUGAAGAGGAAGCCCCGGCUAACUACGUGCCAGCAGCCGCGGUAAUACGUAGGGGGCAAGCGUUAUCCGGAUUUACUGGGUGUAAAGGGGGCGCAGACGGCGAUGCAAGCCAGGAGUGAAAGCCCGGGGCCCAACCCCGGGACUGCUCUUGGAACUGCGUGGCUGGAGUGCAGGAGGGGCAGGCGGAAUUCCUGGUGUAGCGGUGAAAUGCGUAGAUAUCAGGAGGAACACCGGUGGCGAAGGCGGCCUGCUGGACUGCAACUGACGUUGAGGCCCGAAAGCGUGGGGAGCAAACAGGAUUAGAUACCCGAGUAC
rnacentral:rRNA from 1 species